rnacentral:rRNA from 1 species
UACUCGAGUGGCGAACGGGUGAGUAACACGUGGGUGAUCUGCCCUGCACUUCGGGAUAAGCUUGGGAAACUGGGUCUAAUACCGGAUAGGAGCCAUCUUUAGUGUGGUGGUUGGAAAGUUUUUUCGGUGUAGGAUGAGCCCGCGGCCUAUCAGCUUGUUGGUGGGGUAAUGGCCUACCAAGGCGGCGACGGGUAGCCGGCCUGAGAGGGUGUACGGCCACAUUGGGACUGAGAUACGGCCCAG